GACGAACGCUGGCGGCGUGCCUAAUACAUGCAAGUCGAACGCGUCUACGUUAAUGAAAUCAAUGUGCUUGCACGGCGAUGGAUUUAACAUUAGACGAGUGGCGAACUGGUGAGUAACACGUGGGUAACCUGCCCUCAAGCAGGGGAUAACACUUGGAAACAGGUGCUAAUACCGUAUAACAACAAAAACCGCAUGGUUUUUGUUUGAAAGAUGGUUUCGGCUAUCACUUGAGGAUGGACCCGCGGCGUAUUAGCUAGUUGGUGAGGUAAUGGCUCACCAAGGCAAUGAUACGUAGCCGACCUGAGAGGGUAAUCGGCCACAUUGGGACUGAGACACGGCCCAAACCCCUACGGGAAGCAGCAGUAAGGAAUCUUCCGCAAUGGGCGAAAGCCUGACGGAGCACUAUCGCGUGGAGGAAGACGGCUCGUGAGUUGUAAACUCCUUUUGUCAGAGAAGAAAACUGACGGUAUCUGACGAAUAAGCAUCGGCUAAACUCUGUGCCAGCAGCCGCAGUAAUAC
rnacentral:rRNA from 1 species